rnacentral:rRNA from 1 species
GUGUGGUCGCGGCCUCCGGGGGCUCCCCCCGGGCGGUAGAGGUAACACUCUUACGCGCCACAUGUCUGAAUCCUUUUUUUACGAGCACCUUUCGUUCUCCUUCGGUGGGGCAACCUGCCGUUGGAACUUAUCAAAACCUUUUUUUGCAUCUAGCAUUACCUGUUCAGAUACAAACAAUCGUUACAACUUUCAACAAUGGAUCUCUUGGCUCUGGCAUCGAUGAAGAACGCAGCGAAAUGCGAUAAGUAGUGUGAAUUGCAGAAUUCAGUGAAUCAUCGAAUCUUUGAACGCACAUUGCGCCCCUUGGUAUUCCAUGGGGCAUGCCUGUUCGAGCGUCAUCUACACCCUCAAGCUCUGCUUGGUGUUGGGCGUCUGUCCCGCCUCUGCGCGUGGACUCGCCCCAAAUUCAUUGGCAGCGGUCUUUGCCUCCUCUCGCGCAGCACAUUGCGCUUUAGAGGGGUGUGGGCCGCGUCCACGAAGCAACAUUAUCGUCUUUGACCUCGGAUCAGGUAGGGAUACCCGCUGAACUUAAGCAUAUCAAUAAGCGGAGGAA